GCUGAGCUUGGUGAUGUGCACUUGUAGUCCCAGCUACCUGGGAGGCUGAGGAGGGAAGGUCGCUUGAGCCCAAGAGUCCUGAGCUGUAGUGUGCUAUGUGGAGCAGGUGUCCAUACUAAAUGGGGAAUCAAUAUGGUGACCUUCCAGGAGCAGGGGACCACCAGGUUGCCUAAUGAAAAGUUAAUAGGGCGAGGCAUGGUGGCUUACGCCUGUAAUCUCAGUACUUUGGGAGGCUGAGGCGGGCAGAUAACAUGAGGUCAGGAGCUCAAGACCAGCCUGGGCAACAUGGUGAAAACCUGUCUCU
ensembl:misc_RNA Metazoa_SRP Metazoan signal recognition particle RNA